UCCAGACUCCUACGGGAGGCAGCAGUGGGGGAUAUUGCACAAUGGGGGGAACCCUGAUGCAGCGACGCCGCGUGGGUGAAGAAGCGCCUCGGCGCGUAAAGCCCUGUCAGCAGGGAAGAAAAUGACGGUACCUGAAGAAGAAGCCCCGGCUAACUACGUGCCAGCAGCCGCGGUAAUACGUAGGGGGCAAGCGUUAUCCGGAUUUACUGGGUGUAAAGGGGGCGCAGACGGCAGCGCAAGCCAGGAGUGAAAGCCCGGGGCCCAACCCCGGGACUGCAUUUGGAACUGUGCUGCUAGAGUGUCGGAGAGGCAGGCGGAAUUCCUGGUGUAGCGGUGAAAUGCGUAGAUAUCAGGAGGAACACCGGUGGCGAAGGCGGCCUGCUGGACUGCAACUGACGUUGAGGCCCGAAAGCGUGGGGAGCAAACAGGAUUAGAUACCCGUGUAGU
rnacentral:rRNA from 1 species